rnacentral:lncRNA from 7 species
AGGGAGUUGCCACACAGCUGGGCAAAUUGUAUGUUAUGAAAUUGAUUGAAAAGCAUUUUAUGUUUGAUAAUUUUCCCAUGAGGCUUUUGUUUUUUAUGUUAAUUUAUAGAAUAAAUAAAAUAAAAUAAAUUUAUUUAUAAAUUAUGUAAAUAUAUAAAAUAAUUAAAGGUAUAAAUACAUUAAAAUGUAUCCAAUUUUUAAGAAUAAUUUAGUUCAAACUCCUUUUGAAAGCAAGGCCAGCUAAAAUUAUUUGUCUUGGGCUUAGUCUUGUCGAGUUUUUAAUGUCUCUUAGCAUUGAGAUUCCGCAGUCUGUUGGGGGUAUUGCUUCAGUGUUCAAUUCAGCCUCACUGAUUUUAUCUAUCUCACUGUAUCUCACUGAUAUCUCAGUAGUUUUUUUUUUUUUUUUAAUCUUUGACUUUUUUCCUCCUCACUAACAACAUUAAAUUUUGAUUACCUUAUUACAUCUACUGGAGUGUCCUUUGGAUCUUAAUCUUGCCUUAUCUUAUACUAUGUCUUCAUACAUUCAUACAUGUGAUUUCUUUCUCUUCUCUCUAUAUGUAAACCAUUCAAACAUUUUCUAGA